CCAGUUCCGCGACCCGGUGGCUGCGGCCGCUCUGGGCUCCCAGAUGCUUCCGCCUCCCCAGGGGCCCGCUCGCCACCCCGCCCCGCCAGCCUCGCGUCCCUUUGCCGGCUGCCCUGGCCUCCCGCCGCCCGGGGUCGGUGGCUGCGCCAGCCCGGAAAGCUGUCUUGGUCACGGCUCGCCCGGGACCUGAGCUCCCUCGGUAAGGGGAGCUGGCCUCUCUCGAUGCCAAGUCACGUUCCGGGACAGGUCGCCGAAUACAAGUCGUGCGGAGGGUGGGGAAAGAGACAGUGCCAAAAGACUUCGAGAAACAUAUCCUGUUAUUGCGGCAAGUCGUCUGUUUGCCCGAGACCAAACUUCCGCAUCUUUACAGGUUUUGGGGUCAAUAGGAGCCAAAAGGCGGCAUUUGAAUGACGCGGUGUGGUUGGAAAUGUUGGAUUGACAGCUGGGAACCGGGCAGGUGAACCUCUCCUCCCUGGCAUGACAGCACACUAAGCUCCUCCACGCGCCAGAAAUUCCCCCUUCAGCAGAAUUUUACUGCUCAGCUGCAAUGGACAAGUCUCUGGGAUAAGAAUGAAGUCGAAGAUGAAUCAGAGGUUGCUUAAAAUGUAGUGAGGGAGAUAGGACUCUGGUUACCUGCAGGUCACAGGCUAAGGUUAUUGGCCUGAGGGUUCAGGCUUACAACAGGAGGCUUAAGGAAGACUUCAUUGAGGAAGCUAUGCUUGAGGCGGGACUCAAAGAUGCACACUUUUAGGGAUCAGAGUUGCAUGGAGAGGGCAUUCCCCCAUAUGACCUUAAGACACUCAUCUGCUGUCAGUGGAUGUGCAAAUUGUGCAACUUCUUUGGAAGAAAAUUCAGAAACACAUAAAAAAUUUUAAAUGCACAUGCCUUGUACCCCAAAAAUUCAUGUCUAAGAAUUUAUCCUAAAGAUAUAUUACACAAAGGGAGCAGUACCUCUACCAGGAAACACUAGCAGUCCCCAGAGACUGGCUGCUUUUGCAUAAUUGUCACUGAAGCAUUUCCACCGAAAGUUUCUCCGUCACUCUGAGGUGGCCCCAGAGCACGUGAGCCAAGGCUUGUGGGUGAUCUCAUCCUCUGGCCCUGGUCCAGCAGCUUAAGCUCUGUCAUCGCAGUGAGGUUGGCUGGCAUCUUGCUAACAUGGUUAGAUCAUUACUAAUUCUUUUCCAAACCAUGGAUUUCUCAAUCAAUGAUACAUGGGAAAAGAAUGGUCGUCGGUCCAGGCUCGUGGCAGUACAUCACUGUCAUUUUGCAAUGACAGCCCAGGUAGGGGAGUGACGUUUGCCUUACUUAAUGACGUUUCCCUUAGUCUUGAAGCACGCCCCAUAUGUUCUCCUGUAAUCAAAACCACUGGUCUGUCUGCUUCCCACAGAGAUACAUUUACCAAAAAGUAAUGUCUCUGUACAGACAACAGAAUACCAUUCAACCACUCAAAAGGAAGGAAAUUCUGACACAUGCUACAUGAAUGAACCUUGAGGACAUUAUGCUAA